rnacentral:lncRNA from 1 species
AUAGGAGAUUAUAAUUAGGAAAGAAAUUUCAAGGUGCACAAAGCAUUUCGCAUUCAUGCGAGUCCAAGGAAAGGUUAACUCCUCUAGGGGUGUGAUAUAGAUCGUCUAACCUAAUGCAAGCAUUAGUAGCUGUUUCCACCGCUCGAACCUAUGACCUAUUGAUCACAUGAAAACAUUUACCACUGCUCUAAGGAUUCCCUUCAAGCAAAUUAAAGAAAUGCUAAGUCUAAGAUAUUAAUGCACUUUCAACCCAUAUAUGAGUCAUGAAAAGAUAGAAAACUGUCAGUUACCUGUAUUAGUCGAAGUGCGGACAAACCGCUAACACUAGGAUUACACAAAAAGAACUACUAAAUAGAGGCAAACAAACAUCCUUCAGUACCUUUUUCACUUCUCUAUAGUCUCGGAAUGGCCUGGUAUAAGGCAUACAGUUUACACCUUGCUGGAGGAACGGCAUACCCGAAGAAAUUGAAAGAUCGACGACAGAACGAAGAACGAAACUUUAUGACAGCAACAUAACCAAGAUUCAUUUUAUGUUGACGCGAGGUCCUCGUUUUAGAGCAAAGAAGUCAUCAUUUGCCGAUGCAGCAUCAUCAAGAUUCUCAUGUUCAAAAAACUUAGGGGGGCAGAUUUUUACAAAUAUAUUAUCUGCUCCACAUGAUUUCUAUGUGAAUCUUGAAGAUGCUGCAGCUGCAAGUAACAACAUGUAUGUCAAUAAAUACAUAAUACAACAAUGAAAUAAAAGAAAAAUGGCCAAAUUCUUGGAAUUGCAUAAAAGUCCAGGCUAAGGAUAUAUAAGCUAAGGCUAUAUAUAAAGAGAUCUCGAAUUCCUUCCCAUCUAAACCUAGAUCUAUAAGAAUUGAUGGAACUUAAAGCCAAAAGGUGUAAACUUUUGACCUUUUUACAAAAAAAAAAACUAUAUAUUAUCAAGACCAAGGCAGAAGAUCUAACUUAUGGAUUUGAGACUCUUUGUGAAAAGAUGGAUGAAAGAAAUUUAAAAAAAUAAAUAAAAUAAUUGGACCAAUCAAGGAGAAGGAAAAUAACCAUAACAUAUUUCAACAAUUGAUAUUUCAUCUACAUCAUUGAUCAAGAGAAAGAAUAAAAAUUGAUCAAGUAAAAGAACACAAGAGGAUAAUUUAUAAAAAUGAAAAUAGAGAGAAAGGAGCACUAUAUUACACACAUAGAAAAGAAUUUAGGACCUAAGAUUGAGUUACAAAUUAAUGAUUCAAGAUUUGGGAAAACAAACGACGAAACAAGAGGUGAAAGUCUGGGUGGAUGAGACUUAUUUGAGAAAAAAUAAUAUUUAAACCCUCUUAUACACCAAAAAAAUCAAACAAUUCCAAAAACCAUAAGGUUCUAAAGAUUUAAUAAAAGAAUUCAUACACAAGAGUGUGAGGAGAGGGCAAAGGAAGGGAGGAAAAGUGGAAGAAGAGAG